GCACUGCUGAGGAGUCCCAUACUAGGAUGAAACGGCAGUCCAGUAC
rfam:Schistosoma mattheei strain Denwood, Zambia genome assembly, scaffold: SMTD_scaffold0005101